AAAUCGAGAAAUUUGGGUAUAGGGAAGCUAAUCGAACAUCUGUAGCUGGUUCCUGGAAGUUUCCCUCAGGAUAGCAAACUCAUGUCAGAUUUAUGUGGUAAAGGAAUGAUUAGAGGCCUUGGGGUUGAAACAACCUUAACCUAUUCUCAAACUUUAAAUAUGUAAACGAGCCGUCUUAAUUGGAC
rnacentral:rRNA from 1 species